UCCGUAGGUGAACCUGCGGAAGGAUCAUUAUUGAAUACGUUUGGUUCUGAUGCUGGCUCUUCACUGAGCAUGUGCUCGAUCCAUAACUAUUUAUCUUCUCUUGUGCACCUUUUGUAGUCUUUCAGAGCAAGUGAUAACUCUCGCAGCAAUGCGGUUUGGGGGACUUGGGCGUGAGCCCUUCCCCUGCGUUUGCUUCUUUGGAGGGCUAUGUUUUCAUAUACACUAUAAAGUUACAGAAUGUCUUUUAAAGAUUGUGCUAGUCGCAGUCAUUAAACCUAUACAACUUUCAGCAACGGAUCUCUUGGCUCUCCCAUCGAUGAAGAACGCAGCGAAAUGCGAUAAGUAAUGUGAAUUGCAGAAUUCAGUGAAUCAUCGAAUCUUUGAACGCACCUUGCGCCCUUUGGUAUUCCGAAGGGCAUGCCUGUUUGAGUGUCAUUAAAUUCUCAACCCAAAAAGCUUUUACGAGCUCUUUUGUGGCUUGGAUGUGGGGGUUUUUGCUGGCUUCCUUCAGUGGAUGGUCUGCUCCCCUUAAAUGCAUUAGUGGGAUUUCUUGUGGACCGUCACUUGGUGUGAUAAUUAUCUAUGCCAGUUGACUUUGAAGCAAAACUUAUGGGAACCCGCUCAUAACCGUCUUCGGACAACUUACUGACAUUUUGACCUCAAAUCAGGUAGGACUACCCGCUGAACUUAAGC
rnacentral:rRNA from 1 species